rnacentral:rRNA from 1 species
GACGAACCGUACGAACGUUAUUCGGAAUCAUUGGGCUUAAAGCGCGUGUAGGCGGAUUCGUGCGUCUGUCGUUGAAAUCCCCCGGCUCAACCGGGGAAGUGGCGCGGAUACGACGAGUCUGGAGGGGCAUAGGGGGACCUGGAACUUCCGGUGGAGCGGUGAAAUGCGUUGAGAUCGGAAGGAACGCCCGUGGCGAAAGCGAGGUCCUGGAUGCCUACUGACGCUGAGACGCGAAAGCCAGGGGAGCGAACGGG